CCAGGGGCUGCUUUCCCAGGCACAAGUGCACCAGGGAGUCGACACUCCUCCGGCCCAGCCGGCCGCCUCUCCCCAGACACCACCAGGUUUCUUUGGCGAACAUGAAGGAGAGCAGAAUACGAAUUUGGAGACCUAAAACUUCCUUCUGGUGCCCUCCCCGUCUCCCUGCCCCUGCAAUGACAAUGUUGAAGGAGAGGAGCACAUGAAAACCAAACAGAACGCGAUGCGUAUACCAACGGGGGGCUCUUGAAGAAGCAAGCCAACAACGGAUAACCGUUUCUGGGACAUGUUUUGGAAGGAUUGCUGAAUUCCACGCCAGGAGGCUGCAAACCCCUUCUCAGUGGAGCACCUUGCGGGAGUGCGGGAUGGUGGGGGGCGAA